AGACUUCUGAAUGGAAAAUAACUUCAUGUCAACAUAGUAUAAUAGACUUGCAGGGCCAGCGCGUUGUGCAACAAGAUCACAUAGGGUAAUAAGAUUGGGACAGGGUUAAGGACUUCUGUCCUCACUGUGAGUUGUGUUGGGGGUGUUGUAUGUGUGCAGGG